rnacentral:lncRNA from 1 species
UUUUCUUUAAAACGUCUCGGGUUUGGGUUCCUGAGAACGACCGCGGAAAGGCCCAGGGGCAGCCGCCCGGCGACUCCGAGCCGGGGAAGGCGGGAGCAGGCGGCCCGGGGACCCUCCCCCAUCCCCGUGUGGCCUCCGCCUGCCCGUCCGCGCUGGCCCGCGAGGCGCCGGGACCCCAGGCCCGCAGGGAGGCCCCCAGGGAAGGGGGUGGAUGCUCCGCAGCAGCGGGGGGCGGUCCAGGGCCCAGGCGGCGGCGCAGGGUUCGCACAGACCCGGGGCCUCUGCGGCGCCCCGUGGGGGCUAGAGCCCCGCCCAGGGUUUGCAGGGAGGUGGCAGGUCAGGGCGGCAGCGGGAUGCUGUGUGAGGAGCAGGGGGAGCCCAGGGAUGCGGUGUAAGCGGCGUCCAAGACCCCAGGGGACCUUCAAGGCAGGAGGUAGCACCGGGCUCCUGAUGGACUUGGCAGCCAACGAGAAGGCAGUGCACGCAGACUUUUUCAAUGAUUUUGAAGAUCUGUUUGAUGAUGAUGACAUCCAGUGAGACGCCGUCCCGGGGUGCGUGUGUGCGUGUGCUCACGCCUGCACCGUACUGCACUGUACUGCUGUGGUGGAGCUCCGCAGAGGACAAUGUCAGAUGGCUCUAAAGAACUUGUGGACAUUACUCGAAAUUAGGAGGUGGUUAUCAAGCAAGAGAAGGAUGGUUUUAAAUAUCUGCAUGAGGCCCGCUGAUGUCUGAAUGUGACCAACUUUUGUCCUUCAAUUAAAAGUAAAAGUGAUGCCGUCAUUGCAGGGAAGCGCCCAUGCCACAGGACUACAGCGCUCCGCAUAUCUUAGAGAUGAGCAGGGCCACGGAGUAGAUGCUCAGCACAUGCUGACCUCCCCCGGGACAACGCGCUCGACAGCAUCACCUGGUAGCCCAAAGACAGAUGAAGGUCUAACCUGGAGGAGCCCUCACCUCUGCUGCGUCCCCAAGCUGCAGCUUCCUGGUGCCAUGAGGCUCAGAGACAGAAUUUGCACCUUCUCCCCCAUCGUCUCGCUGUGCCUCGGCCAUCCCCAUGGGGAAGCGGCGAGUACGGUAGGAGACCGCAGCGUCCGCUUGUCCUGUGCGUGUGCGGACUCUUGCCGUUGUCAGUCAUGUGUCUUCAUUGACAGUGGCAAAAACACUUCCUCUCGCUUUUUCUACCUCCUUGCCUUGGGGCCUCGUGUGCCCAUCUCUGGCACAUUUAGAAAUGCUGUGGGGACGCCUGGGGGGCUCAGCGGUGGAGCACCUGCCUUCAGCUCAGGUCAUGAUCCUGGGAUCGAGUCCCACAUCGGGCUGUCCGCGGGGAGCCUGCUUCUCCCUCUGCCUGUGUCUCUGCCUCUCUCUCUGUGUCUCUCAUGA